rnacentral:rRNA from 1 species
GUCUCUGGCUGUAUCACCCUGAACACACUCGAUCUUGUCUGAUCUCAGAAGCUAAGCAGGGUCAGGCCUGGUUAGUACUUGGAAGGGAGAAAUUAUCUCAAUUCAAACAUCACAAAAAAUCUGAAAGCCAGCUACC